rnacentral:rRNA from 1 species
GUGAGGAAUAUUGGUCAAUGGACGCAAGUCUGAACCAGCCAUGCCGCGUGAAGGAUGAAGGCCUUCUGGGUUGUAAACUUCUUUUAUGUGGGAAGAAACCAUCUUUUUCUAAGGGUGUUGACGGUACCAUAGGAAUAAGCACCGGCUAACUCCGUGCCAGCAGCCGCGGUAAUACGGAGGGUGCAAGCGUUAUCCGGAUUUACUGGGUUUAAAGGGUGUGUAGGCGGACUUUUAAGUCAGCGGUGAAAUCUCCGGGCUCAACCCGGAAACUGCCAUUGAUACUAUUUGUCUUGAAUUUUGUUGAGGUGGGCGGAAUAGGUCAUGUAGCGGUGAAAUGCUUAGAUAUGACCUAGAACACCAAUUGCGAAGGCAGCUCACUAAGCAAACAUUGACGCUGAGGCACGAAAGCGUGGGGAUCAAACAGG